UGAGCCCCUCCAGGGUAAGUGGAAAGACGGUGGCCCCCAGCCCAUGCGCUAUCUUCAUGCCAUAUGCCUGCAGACCACCCCCCCUCGUCUUGCGAGGCCUUCACGGAGCCG
rnacentral:pre_miRNA from 1 species